rnacentral:rRNA from 1 species
CCAACGGGAGGCUGCAGUUGGGACUAUUGCGCAAUGGGCGAAAGCCUGACGCCGCGACGCCGCGUGAGGGAUGAAGGUCUUCGGAUCGUACACCUCUGUCAGCAGGGAAGAACGGUCACUGUGCUAAUCAGCAGUGAAUUGACGGUAACUGCAAAGGAAGCACCGGCUAACUCCGUGCCAGCAGCCGCGGUAAUGCGGAGGGUGCGAGCGUUAAACGGAAUUACUGGGCGGAAAGCGCUUGUAGGCGGUAUGUCAAGUCAAGGGUGAAAUCCCCGCGCUCAACGUGGGAACGGCCUUUGAAACUGUCAAACUGGAGUGUGUGAGAGGAUAGUGGAAUUCCAGGUG